GCGUUCGGGGUUGCCGGCGCCUGCCUGGCAGGGGCGGGGGGAGGGUGAGGGGAACGCGGCGAGGGAACAAAGCACCGGAGCUGCCAGGUGGCGAGGGGCCGCCGGGCUGCCCGCCGCCAUGGGGGUGCAGGACCGGCCCCAGUGCUUCUUCGAGAUAGAAAUCAACCGGGAACCAGUUGGUCGAAUUAUGUUUCAGCUCUUCUCAGACAUAUGUCCGAAGACUUGCAAAAACUUCCUUUGCUUGUGCUCAGGUGAAAAAGGAAUUGGCAAAACAACUGGAAAGAAGCUGUGCUACAAAGGCACUACGUUCCAUCGUGUGGUUAAAAACUUCAUGAUUCAGGGUGGGGACUUCAGCGAAGGUAACGGAAAAGGAGGUGAAUCUAUUUAUGGUGGCUAUUUUAAAGAUGAAAACUUUAUUCUCAAACAUGACAGAGCGUUCCUUUUGUCAAUGGCAAACCGAGGGAAACAUACCAAUGGUUCCCAAUUUUUCAUAACAACGAAACCCGCUCCUCAUCUCGAUGGCGUACACGUUGUCUUUGGACUGGUUAUUUCUGGUUUUGAAGUAAUAGAGCAAAUAGAAAAUCUGAAAACUGAUACUGCAAGUAGGCCCUAUGCCGACGUACGAGUUAUUGACUGUGGGGUGCUUGUUACAAAAUCAGCAAAAGAUGCUUUGGAGAAGAAGAAGAAAGUAUGUUCUGACUCAGAAGCUUCAGACUCCUCCUCCAGUGCAUCAAGCUCUUCAGAAACUUCAUCUGACAGUGAAGCUGAAAAUGAAAGAAGCAGAAGGAGGAAGCGUAAAAGAAGAACUAAAACCAAACAAUCGAGAAAACGAAGAAAGGAAGAGAGAAAGAAGGAGGAUCCAAGGUGCAAGCGAACCUCAAACCAAAGACGCAGCCUUUCUGACAAGAGUGAUAUAACAGAAAAAGCUGCCGAUGUUAGCACAAAGAGGGACAAACCGGUGGUACGUCCUGAAGAAAUUCCCCCAGUGCCUGAAAACAGAUUUUUGCUAAGAAGAGAUGUGCCUGUUGUCAGCGUAGAACCUGAACCGAAGCUUCUUGAUGCUACGCCAGUUCUGACUGAUCAGAAACCAUCAGUCUCUAAAUCUGGACGAAAAAUUAAAGGACGGGGCACAAUACGGUAUCACACCCCACCUCGGUCACGAUCGUGUUCUGAAUCCGAUGAUGAUGAGAGCAGUGAGACCCCUCCUCACUGGAAAGAGGAAAUGCAAAGAUUACGAACAUAUAGACCACCUAGUGGGGAAAAGUGGAGUAAAGGAGAUAAGUUGAGUGACCCAUGUACAAGCAGAUGGGAUGAAAGAAGUGCAUCCCGGAGAUCAAGGUCUUGGUCCCAUAACGGUUAUUCUGAUCUGAGUACUGUAAGGUAUUCUAGCCAUCACAAAAAGCACAGAAAAGAGAAAAAGAAGGUGAAACAUAAAAAGAAAUCUAAAAAGCAGAAGCAUUUCAAGAAGCACAAGCAAACGAAGAAAAAGAAAACAUCAGCCUCAUCGGAUGUAGAAUCCUCUCAUUCCUUCCCCAGGAGGACGAAAUCAUCUUGUGAUCGUGAGAGGAAAUCUCGUUCUUCUUCAUUGUCUUCCAGACAUUCAUCCAGAAGAGACUGGUCGAAAUCUGAUAAGGAAGACCAGAGCUCAUCGACAUUAUCAAGCAGAGGGACUCGAUCGUACUACAGGUCCAGAUCUAGAUCUAGGUCUAAAUCAAGAUCUUAUUCCCGAAGAAGUUCUAGAUCAAGAUCAGCUUCUAAAUCAUCGCGUUCUCGAAGUAGGUCAAGGUCAAGUUCUAACGCUAGGCACCAAAAGACAGUUUCCAAUUCUCCACGAAAUAUUUCAACACGAUUAAAUGAAAACAAGUUGAACAAGACUGCUGAGCCUGUAAGAGCAGUUAUACUCCCAAGUGACAAAGUUGUCAUACCACCAGUUGUCCCAGAAAACCUCCCUGUUAUACCCUUAAGUGAUAGUCCACCGCCUUCAAGGUGGAAACCUGGACAGAAACCAUGGAAGCCAUCUUAUGAGCGGAUUCAGGAAAUGAAAGCUAAAACAACCCAUUUAAUACCUGCACCAACUAAUUACAAUUUAGUAGUCAUUAAAGAGGCUAACACUUCUUCCUCAUAUCGUAAGCGACAAAGGAGUUCAGAUAGCGAUCGAAGCGGUUAUUCCAAAUACCGUAGUGACAGAAGCUCAGAUAGUUGGCCAAGAUCAAGAAGCAGGUCCUCUCGAAGCAGGUCAUACUCAAGAUCUUACACAAGAUCUAGAAGUCCAUCUAGCUCUAGGACAAAGUCUCGUUCUUCUGGCAGAUCACCAUCAUUGAGUAAAUACCGCAGUGACAGGUCAGGUUAUAGUGAGUCAACGUCUUACUAUUCCCUUAGUGAUGAUGAUAGACACAGAAACAAAAGAAAAUCUGCAUCAAGCGAUCAAAAAGCUCGGUCUCUUAAACUGAGGCAAGAAACGAGCUCUGAAAGUACUCUCCCUUAUAAGUGUACAAAAGACUACGAUGAGUCUUCUCAAGGGUUGAAAGAGAGCGACAGUCUGUCGUCUUCAGACUUCUCUACUGACAGUGAGCGUUCUGCCAAAGUGAAAGUAGUCCAAGAAAAAGAAGGCCGUUUUCAAUUAGAAGGAGAUACUCAGAAACAGGAUAAAAAUAGCUUAAGUUCUGAGAGAGGGGAGGAGAAAUCCAAGUGUGAGCGGGAUUCUGAUCACGCUAAAAAGAAAGCAGCUAAGGAGAAAUCCUCUGAGCAACCUAGAGGUGGUGCAAAAGCUAAACGAAAAUCCUAUUCGGGUAGUAAAUGGGACUCUGAAUCAAAUUCUGAAAGGGGAGAAGCAAGGCAUAAUAGGGGAGAUUCCAGACCCUCCUCUGGCAAAGAAGAAGGAGAGGCCACGUCAGGAUCUGAUACAGAGCUUAGCGUUACCAAAAGGAUAAAAAAGCAAUCAAAUUCUUCAGAAGGCUUUCUGGAUUCUGAUUGUACCUGGAAGACAAGCAAACAGUUGUCAUCCUCUGAAUCUGAGAGUUCUUGUUCUAGCUCAACAAACGUUAGAGGAAAGUCAAAAAAACACAAACACGGAUUGAAAAAAACUCUUAAAAAAUCACAUUCCAAAAAAGCAAAAGAAAAAUCCAAAGGGAAAAAGGAGAAGAAACACAAAGUUCAGAGAAGAAAAGAAAUGUUUCAUUGGCAGCCCCCCCUGGAGUUUGGUGAAGAAGAUGAGGAGGAGAUAAAUGAAAAGCUGGUUGCCAAGGAUGAUAAAGAAGAAAAGCAGCUUAUCAGGGACAUAAAGGAGAAAAAGCAAGUUCAUGAGAAGGAUGAAAUAGUCAAAGAUAAAAUGGGAAAUGGUGAAAAGCCUUGUGCGGAUGAAAAGCUUUUAGGUAAAAACUCGGUAUGUGAUACCUCACCGGAUUGCAGCAACCUUAAUAAAGAUGGCAUUGAAACAAAUGCUUCAACCGGUAUUUUAAACUCAGGAAUAAAUGUGACUGCCUGUAAGAAUGAGGUUAAACAAGCUGAAGAAAGUAACCAGAACGGAUUGGAAGAUGUUAUUCAGACAGAUGACAACAUGGAGAUUUGUACGCCAGAUCGUAACUCACCAGGGAAGCUGGAUGUGGACAUUUUGUCUCCUGUCAUUCUCACUGCUAAACCUCAGGCUUUAAGUGCUAGUAUACACAAAGAUUUACAGGUUGAGACCCCUGAACAAGAGGCUGUCAAACUAGGAAACAAUAUUAUAGACUUUAUUAAUAUUAAAGAAGAAAAAGAAACAGGAAGGCAAGAAAAUAACUCUGUCGCCAUGUCUAGCGCUAAAGACUGUAGUUUAAAAAGUGAAAAUACUGAAAAUACACAAAGCAAUAUGAUAGAUAAUAAAUGGAAGCCUUUGCAAGGUGUUGGUAACUUGCAGCCAGCAACAGUUAGUACUGCUGCAGAAGUUAAGAACGUAGCUUCAGUGCCAGAGCCUAAACCAGCUGGUUUAAGAAUUGAAAUAAAAGCUAAAAAUAAAGUAAGGCCUGGAUCUCUGUUUGAUGAAGUUAGAAAAACAGCACGGCUAAAUCGAAGGCCAAGGAACCAAGAAAGUUCCAGUGAGGAAGAAUCUCCAAGUAGAGAUGACAAUAGCCCGUCCAGGAGUCUCAGCAGGUCACGAAGUAAAUCUGAAUCUAAAUCCAGACACAGAACAAGGUCCAUGUCUUACAGUCACUCAAGAAGUCGAUCUCGAAGUUCUACAUAUUCAUACAGGUCAAGAAGCUAUACAAGAAGCCGAAGCAGGGGAUGGUAUAGUAGAGAUCGGUCAAGAAGUCGAAGUAGUUCUUACCACAGUUACAAGAGUCGUAGUCGAACCUAUAGUAGAAGCAGAUCCAGAAGUAGUUCUUAUGGUCAUCACAGUCGAUCCAGUAGGUCAUACACGUAUGAUAGUUACUACAGCAGAAGUCGAAGUAGAAGUAAAAGGAGUGACAGCUACCGAAGAUCCAGAAGUUACGAUAGGCGAUCCAGAUCUUAUGGCUCUGACAGUGAAAGCGAUCGCAGUUACUCUAACAAUCGAAGUCCCAGUGAAAGCAGCAGAUACAGCUGAAAGUGUUUCUUUGACGACGGAAACUGCAUUUAGUAAUUUUUUUCAGUGUUAUGUUAAAAAAAAAAACACAACUGUUUUGACAGUGUCACAAGUGAAGUUGAAGGGUGUUUAUGGAGUUAGCUGAAACUUUACCAUUUAGCAGUGAACUCUCUUGACGGUAUCCUUAUGGAGAGAAGUACUGAGCUCAACUCCCCUGGUUUGUGGGGUUUUUUUAAUGUCAAAUGCUACUUUUACGAAACAGGAAAAAAAAACUCCACCAGUUUUCUUUCCUUGAAUUGGAUUCUCCAAGCCAUGAAUGACACUUCGGUGAAUUUGCUGCCACCGCUUUUCUGGAUGCAGCAAUCAGUACUGUCUUCAAGUACGUUUAUAAACACCUUGGGGCUUUCUGCCUGUUACUAUUAAAUAUGUGCUAGCAAGUAUAAAACUGUGAAGAAAACUUCUUACAAAGGCUGAUGUUUCUAGUUUAUUAAAAUGCUUUUUUUUUUAAUGUUGGAAGAUGGGUUCCAUGCCAUCUCGUUUGUUGGUUAUCGCAUUAUAUAUGGCAUAUACACAACAUCUCGGUGAUGCAAACAAAGACUGCCGCUCUGUCUUAAUCCUUCCCAUACUGUGAUCUUGCCGAACUCUGCCGAAAAGGGUGAGAUUAUCCACAAUGGGAAUCGUCAAACUGACAAGCCGUGAGCAAAAGUGUGAUGAAAUGAGUUUGGGUCUUAAUAUCCAACUUGUCUAAACUUUUAUGUUUAAAGUGAAUUUUGUGAUAAGCAGCAAAGUUCUUAAGAGUCUAAAAAAAAAGAAAAAAGUGUUUCUAAACACUUUCUGAAUUUCAUUUCAAUUCAUAUUACAGCGCUUGGCACACUUCACCACAUUUUGAAGUUGAAUGUUGUAAACUGUUCUGUAUAUCAUGAGUUUGUCCAAAACACUUUUUAAAAAAAACUUAGGUGAUGAUAUUUUUUUUUUGAUUAAACCAUAAUGGUUCCUUUAUCAGCUGUCUGUAGAUGUACCCCAUUUGCCAUAGGGAAUAUCAGAUAUUGAUAUUGCAGAUAUCGAACUAUAUAUUGUUAAAGCGAUAUGACUACAAAAAUACUUGUUUGCCUGAUAAGAAGCACCGACAAUACUUUAAAAGUAAAGUUUAGUACCAAAAAUGACUCCAUGUUACAGGUAAACGGUUUGCAAAAAACCCAUAGACUUAAACUGAAGAGCAUUGAGUAAUUUUUGCAAUAUUCUGAUUGAGUUGAUUUACAAUGAUUUGUAAAGUUUUUCAGCGUUUAGAAAGUUGAGUACUAAGAAACAGGGGUUUUUCUAAUGGCAUAACGUAACCUGAAAAGUGGGGUCUGUAGUGAAAAAACCAGACUAAUGUAGCUUUAUUAGAGCUAAUGAAUACUGGUGUAUCAUAAUAGUUUUCAUUACUGACUCUCUGUAAUAUCUUGAGAUGCUUUCAUUUUCUCAAAUGUUUUCAAAUAUUGAAAAUGACUUUUUUUUUAAAUCUCAUCAGGACCCAGCAGCUUUGAAAAUGAAAAGUGGUAAUUUCUUGCUUAGGCGUCAGUUCCUACUGUCUCUUUUGAUUGAAUUAAGCUAUUCAAAAUUAGCUUUUUGGUACAUUUCUGAAACAUGAAAAGGAAGUUCAAAGUGAAGUUUGAAGACUGUAACGAUGCCCUCCGUUUCUGUUCGUGAACAGCUGAAUAAGGCAUUUGUACACAGGUUCCUAAAACUGAAUUUGUCGCAGGCUUUUCACUUUCUAGAACCCAAAAUUCUGGAUUUACACCUUUCUGACUCUUGUAGUUCAAUGAAAGCGUGUGCACGUAAUCCUUUCGAAUCAAUAUUUUGUAAGCUUCUUAUGCUUUUUAAAAGUACAUUUAUUACUCAAGUCCGUACACAUUUACAGGCACGUUUCUAACAGAGUAGCAGCCGUUUCAGAGCUCUGAACAAAUAUUUAAUUGCAAACUCAAGGUUAUGUUUGUUGCCAUUUCAUAGUUUCCAGUACAAAAGUAACUUGUUUCUUGCCUUACUGAGAAAAAAGAACUAGUGGGUUAGUGGUGUAACGAAAUACACACGUAUGAACGUGGACAUUCAAUGCUUCUUAGAGGAAAAAAUUACUCCAAAAUCAGACUUUGUCAUAUUUCAGAUCUGAGCUGACUUUUUAUUUUUAAGGCCAGGGAAAGGUAAUAAAAAUACAGUCAAUCAAUUAAUUGCAGAUGUCCAAAAUUACUGCAACGUCACCGCUGUCUAUUUCAUAUCUUGAAUUAAAGCUUUAGGAAGAAAUUCCAUCUGGUAGGUGGUUGGGGAGGGAUGUGAGGAAGGGGAGUAUUUUUACUUGGUGAAUUCUGUUAAAUUGUGCUUCAGAUGAUAAAUGUACCCCUGAGCUGGUUUUUCUAACGUUGAUCUAUGUUUUUGCAAUUUUGUUAUGCAAAGGUAGUUGCUGUUUGUAAAAUAAACUUUUGUACAUAUCUGCAGAUGCUGUUUUUCUCUACGCCUGGAAAAAUCAGUUGCUACUUGAGGGGAAACGGGCAGGAAAAUUAAAAAUACACUUCAAUUUCUGUGUCCACUUUUGCCCUUUGCAAGACUCCCUACAAGUUGCUUUUCCUUUUCCUGACCUACACAGAGAGUGAUUCCUCACCAAGCCUCUCUCCUGGGUUUACAUAAUGGUCGUUGGAGGAACAAAUAUUUUGAAAUUUUCCAGUGAUUUGAGGUCUCGCCAUUUCCUCAAGAUACAGAAAAGGCCACAUUCAGUGCAGAAGUGAAACCUCAGAGUGACAAGGCUGCUCUCAGGUGCUGCGGACCCGCUGCCGUAGAGGUCGAGCCGUCCCCUUGAGCAGGCGGGAGCGCAGGGAGAAGGCAGGAGGCACGCAGGGGUAAAAAUAGCGUGGCUGGCGCCCGCUUAUCUAUUACUCAGUAGUGACAUUUUUUUCUACUAAAAUAAGUCUUUAAUCCUGCAAUGUAGGGGAAUUAUUACUCAAGUAUAAGUGGUUUUAUUAAAAAAAAAAAAAGAAACAAACAAAAAAACCCCAACAAACUAAAAAAGCAGGAGAAUUGUAAAUAGGGUCUGUGUGUCCGAGGUUGUUUUGGCUGUAGAUGAUGCAGUGACACAGAAUAUCGUGGUGCAGCUCUGUCGGAACAAGCUUUCCGUCUCCAGCUGCAGGUGAGUGACUUGGCUGGAAUAAGGCGAUAUUAAAUGAGCCAUCUGGCCGUCAACCAGCUAGUUCUUAUAAAGCACGUAUUUACAAAGCAAGAGCAUAAACGCGUUUUUCCUAUGAUAACGACCUGCCAGAGGUUUCCUUCCUACUGUAUCACCUUUAAACAAGGGCUAUUUGUGUCCUCGCGCUCGCGGGUGAGAAGCGUUGGAAGUGCUCUCUCGGAAGAUCCCCAAGUCGCUGCCAGGGUAUUAAAUUUCUGUGGAUGGCUUUGUGCGGUUCGCGAGGAUCGUGCUUUACAGUUUGGAGCAGAACGCAGUAUUUAGAUGACCUUGAGCUGCACUCUGGAAUCCAUCUGGUGUCGUUUCCAAACGGAACGCUGCCUGGGAUUUAAAUCAUGAGGAGAUAAAGCUUCGCGUGCUCCACCCCUACU